GGUUGGUGAACACAUGGAGGUGCGGGGAGGGUGGCGAGCCCAGCGAGGACGUGGAUUCCCCACGGCCCUUCCCACAUACCUCGUUCUUUCAUUUGGCUGUUUCUCAGUUGUGUGCUUUAUAAUCAACUGACAAUGCAAGGGGAAGAGGUUUCUGCAGGGCUGCCGGCUGUUAGAGAUGCAGAGAAAUCACGAUGCAAUGUCAGCCUGCAGCGAUCCCAGGUCCUAUGUCCCUUCCUCUUAAAUUUGGGCAGAAUUUGUGACUUCUUUGUCCAACAAAAUAUCGCAGAAGUGAUGCUGUACCAGACUGAAGAAGAGUGGCAGUUUCUAGCUGUGGUAUCUUGGAUCCAAAGAAUCAAUGACCCCAUACAACAGACCCAGUAGAGUUCCCAGGAAACACCCAGCACCAGCCAUGUUGGUAAGAUAUCUUGAAAAUAGAUACUUCAGCCCACUUGAGCCACCACAGCUCACACCACCUGGAGCACAGUCAAGCCUUUUCUGCUGAGCCCUGCCCAAACUGCAGAUUUGUGAACCAAAUAAAUAAUUGCAAUUGUUUUAAGCCAA
rnacentral:lncRNA from 1 species